rnacentral:lncRNA from 1 species
GGAAUACCUUCCAGAUAAAAACUCUAAAUUGGUUUUUGGGCACUUUCAUCUUUCCCACUCCCUCAUGAGCUGUUUUCCUGCUAGAAGAGGAGAGGUCAACUUCUUCCCAGUGCUUGGCAUGCUGCUGUUGGUGCUCCUUUUGCCACCAAGCUGUCCCGCUCAGCCACCGUUCUUGGAGCACCAAAGGCACAUAGAACUCAUUCUUUAAACUUCAGUCUGGAUCCAACCUCACUGCUGACAGUCUGGCCCUUCCCUUGACAUGGCUUUGCACUGAUGGCUACUGAUGCUGAAGGCUGUGAUAAAAUUCAUUCUGAGGAUGGCUGAGGAUGAAGAGUUAGCCCAACAUGAAAUAUUUUGCAAAACCUAAUAACUUCUACUUAAUUCUUCUUUCUUGUCCUUAGAAUUAUGUCCUAUUAUAUAACAUACAUAUUCUAAAACAUUUGGUUUUAUUCAUCUCACGUUCUUAAUUUGAAAAGUUAAUCCCAGGUCUAGAGCAUUCUCUAAUGACCAUUGUUCCUUGAAGACAUGGUCUGGCUAACUUAACUACCUGGUUCUUCGAUUCUUUAAGGUCACUGACAUAACUAUAUGAGCAACUCUCAUCUGCAUGCUAAGCUCUUUGACUUUCACCCUC